UACGUAGGGUGCGAGCGUUAAUCGGAAUUACUGGGCGUAAAGCGUGCGCAGGCGGUUUUGUAAGUCAGAUGUGAAAUCCCCGGGCUUAACCUGGGAACUGCGUUUGAAACUACAAGGCUAGGGUGUGGCAGAGGGGGGUGGAAUUCCACGUGUAGCAGUGAAAUGCGUAGAGAUGUGGAGGAACACCGAUGGCGAAGGCAGCCCCCUGGGUUAACACUGACGCUCAGGCACGAAAGCGUGGGGAGCAAACAGG
rnacentral:rRNA from 1 species